CACGUAGGGCGCAAGCGUUGUCCGGAAUUAUUGGGCGUAAAGAGCUCGUAGGCGGUCUGUUGCGUCUGCUGUGAAAACCCGGGGCUUAACCCCUGGCUUGCAGUGGAUACGGACAGACUAGAGGUAGGUAGGGGAGAAUGGAAUUCCCGGUGUAGCGGUGCAAUGCGCAGAUAUCGGGAGGAACACCGGUGGCGAAGGCGGUUCUCUGGGCCUUACCUGACGCUGAGGAGCGAAAGCGUGGGGAGCGAACAGG
rnacentral:rRNA from 1 species